rnacentral:rRNA from 1 species
AGAGUUUGAUCCUGGCUGAGAACGAACGCUGGCGGCAGGCCUAACACAUGCAAGUCGAGCGCUACCUUCGGGUGGAGCGGCGGACGGGUUAGUAACGCGUGGGAAUAUACCCAGUUCUAAGGAAUAGCCACUGGAAACGGUGAGUAAUACCUUAUACGCCCUUCGGGGGAAAGAUUUAUCGGAAUUGGAUUAGCCCGCGUUAGAUUAGAUAGUUGGUGGGGUAAUGGCCUACCAAGGCGACGAUCGAUAGCUGGUCUGAGAGGAUGAUCAGCCACACUGGGACUGAGACACGGCCCAGACUCCUACGGGAGGCAGCAGUGGGGAAUAUUGGACAAUGGGGGCAACCCUGAUCCAGCAAUGCCGCGUGUGUGAUGAAGGCCCUAGGGUCGUAAAGCUCUUUCAACUGUGAAGAUAAUGACGGUAGCAGUAGAAGAAACCCCGGCUAACUCCGUGCCAGCAGCCGCGGUAAUACGGAGGGGGUUAGCGUUGUUCGGAAUUACUGGGCGUAAAGCGUACGUAGGCGGAUUAAUAAGUUAGAGGUGAAAUCCCAGGGCUCAACCCUGGAACUGCCUUUAAAACUGUUAGUCUUGAGAUCGAGAGAGGUGAGUGGAAUUCCAAGUGUAGAGGUGAAAU